CACACUGUUGGAUUUUGGCUGUGGCAUUUUGUGUCUGUUUUGGCCCCUCAUUAUCACAUCAAUGUAUGCAACCACUCACUUGCACCAUUGUUACUUGUUUAUAGGUUACUUUAGUUAAUAAAUAUAUUUUGUUAUUCCUUGAGCUCCACGUUGUCUCCUUUUUUAGGAGCCUGUUCGUGACAAGUGGGGGCUCAUCUGGGAUUAUAAGGAUGUCGGUGGGCGGAGCCGUCGUCAGCGAAAUGUGACACAACUGGGCCCGGGUGUGUCCUGGGGAUAAAUGCACCUUUUCCCCCAUUCAUUGAGGAGUCUCCACACAGACACUGUUGGAUUUUGAUUGUGGCAUUUUGUAGCUGUUUGCUUUGGCCCCUCAACACCCCUCAUUAUCACAUCAAUGUAUGCAACCACUCACUUACAAUACACCAUUGUUACUUGUUUAUAGUUUACUUUAGUUAAUAAAUAUAUUUGUUAUUCCUUGA